UACGUAGGGUGCGAGCGUUGUCCGGAAUUACUGGGCGUAAAGAGCUCGUAGGUGGUUUGUCGCGUCUGCUGUGAAAUCCGGAGGCUCAACCUCCGGCCUGCAGUGGGUACGGGCAGACUAGAGUGCGGUAGGGGAGAUUGGAAUUCCUGGUGUAGCGGUGGAAUGCGCAGAUAUCAGGAGGAACACCGAUGGCGAAGGCAGAUCUCUGGGCCGUAACUGACGCUGAGGAGCGAAAGCAUGGGGAGCGAACAGG
rnacentral:rRNA from 1 species